UACGUAGGUGGCAAGCGUUGUCCGGAAUUAUUGGGCGUAAAGCGCGCGCAGGCGGUCUUUUAAGUCUGAUGUGAAAGCCUACGGCUCAACCGUGGAGGGUCAUUGGAAACUGGGAGACUUGAGUGCAGAAGAGAAGAGUGGAAUUCCACGUGUAGCGGUGAAAUGCGUAGAGAUGUGGAGGAACACCAGUGGCGAAGGCGACUCUUUGGUCUGUAACUGACGCUGAGGCGCGAAAGCGUGGGGAGCAAACAGG
rnacentral:rRNA from 1 species